rnacentral:pre_miRNA from 1 species
UUUGCAUGUCAAGAACAGCAGAACUGAUCUCAGCAUUAGAACUGCUGCUCCCGAGGUGUAAA